UUAUGCAGAUUGUUCUGCUCUGAGCUACAUAAUGUUGGUGCUGCGUGUGGCUGAACUCGUCCUCAUCACUGUUGUUACUGUUCUUCUCUUCAGAGCUCGAGCAGGGAACCAGAGAGCACCUGAUGACCACACUGUUUCUUACUCAGUAAGAAGCAGAACAGCGAGGCGUUCAGGUCCAGC